rnacentral:lncRNA from 1 species
CAAAGGAGAGAUGAGAAGUCAGUUUUAAUUACCAAAGUUAACAGUAUUUCUCUUAGGUAUUUUCAUGUAAUUGCACUUAAUCUGCAUGAUAGUCUGUGAAGUAAACUGGCUUCACACAUGCACAUCUGUGAGGAAAUGGAUGCUAAACACCAAGGAGGCCAAUAGCUGAGUCUACACUGCUGUGUCCUCCUGCUAGGUCAGUGGUUCUCACUCAACCUGUGGGCCCUGACCUUUUUGAGGUUAGAAGACCCUUUCACAGGGGUCACCUAAGACCAUCAGAAAACAGAUAUUUACAUUAUGAUUCAUAACUGUAGCAAAAUUACAGUUCUGAAGUAGCAAUGAAAAUAAUUUUAUGGUUGGGGGUCACAACAUGAGGAACUGUGUUAUUAAAGAGUCACAACAUUAGGAAGGUUGAGUACCACUGCCCUAGGUGUUGUAGUUUUAAAGCCUAUUUUGGUUUUCCCAUUGUACAUGACUAACUAAAUAAAGUUAGUACACACUAACUUUUGUGUUCUGUGUUGAGUUUUUGAAAUAAUACAUACAUUUGUUUUCUUUUCUUCACCAGGCUUUUCAGACGUGGAUCACACCUAUGCUCAGAGAACUCAGCUCUUUGACACCUUAGUGAAUUUCUUUCCUGACAGCAUGACUCCUCCUAAGGGCAACCUGGUAGACCUCAUCACACUGUAACUGGGCGUGGAUUGAGGAGUUACUGGGCUCAGAAGUGGAGACAGGAACCGGAGGUGGCUGUUUGUGUGGGCAGAGGUGACGUUGCAGUGACUGAGGACUGAGGACUGCAUCCGAGUUUUGAAGGAUCCUUACUGUCACAAGUUUUAACCCUCUUCCUUCAUACCUGACCUCAAUCCCCUUUUCCUUAUAUUCCUGCAUUAGGCUAAUAAAGUGAAAUUGAUAUACUUCCCAUUUAAUUAUGUAUAUUUUUCUUUAGCUUU